rnacentral:rRNA from 1 species
UACGAAGGGGGCUAGCGUUGCUCGGAAUCACUGGGCGUAAAGGGUGCGUAGGCGGGUCUUUUAAGUCAGGGGUGAAAUCCUGGAGCUCAACUCCAGAACUGCCUUUGAUACUGGGAAUCUCGAGUCCGGGAGAGGUGAGUGGAACUGCGAGUGUAGAGGUGAAAUUCGUAGAUAUUCGCAGGAACACCAGUGGCGAAGGCGGCUCACUGGUCCGAUACUGACGCUGAGGUGCGAAAGCGUGGGGAGCAAACAGG